UACGUAGGGUGCAAGCGUUGUCCGGAAUUAUUGGGCGUAAAGAGCUCGUAGGCGGUCUGUCGCGUCGGCUGUGAAAUCCCGUGGCUCAACUGCGGGCUUGCAGCCGAUACGGGCAGGCUAGAGUUCGGUAGGGGAGACUGGAAUUCCUGGUGUAGCGGUGAAAUGCGCAGAUAUCAGGAGGAACACCGGUGGCGAAGGCGGGUCUCUGGGCCGAUACUGACGCUGAGGAGCGAAAGCGUGGGGAGCGAACAGG
rnacentral:rRNA from 1 species